rnacentral:rRNA from 1 species
ACGCUGGCGGCGUGCCUAACACAUGCAAGUCGAACGGGGGCACCUUCGGGUGCUUAGUGGCGAACGGGUGAGUAACGCGUGAGAAACCUGCCUCUCAGUGGGGGACAACAGUUGGAAACGACUGCUAAUACCGCAUAAUGUUUCGGAAGGGCAUCCUUCUGAAACCAAAGCUUUAUGUGCUGAGAGAUGGUCUCGCGUCUGAUUAGCUAGAUGGCGGGGUAACGGCCCACCAUGGCGACGAUCAGUAGCCGGUCUGAGAGGAUGAACGGCCACAUUGGGACUGAGACACGGCCCAGACUCCUACGGGAGGCAGCAGUGAGGAAUAUUGGGCAAUGGGCGCAAGCCUGACCCAGCAAUGCCGCGUGAAGGAAGACGGUUUUCGGAUUGUAAACUUCUUUUAAGAGGGACGAUAAUGACGGUACCUCUUGAAUAAGCCACGGCUAACUACGUG